GACGAACGCUGGCGGCGUGCUUAACACAUGCAAGUCGAACGGAAAGGCCCUGCUUUUGUGGGGUGCUCGAGUGGCGAACGGGUGAGUAAUACGUGAGUAACCUGCCCUUGACUUUGGGAUAACUUCAGGAAACUGGGGCUAAUACCGGAUAGGAGCUCCUGCUGCAUGGUGGGGGUCGGAAAGUUUCGGCGGUUGGGGAUGGACUCGCGGCUUAUCAGCUUGUUGGUGGGGUAGUGGCUUACCAAGGCUUUGACGGGUAGCCGGCCUGAGAGGGUGACCGGCCACAUUGGGACUGAGAUACGGCCCAGACUCCUACGGGAGGCAGCAGUGGGGAAUAUUGCACAAUGGGCGGAAGCCUGAUGCAGCAACGCCGCGUGCGGGAUGACGGCCUUCGGGUUGUAAACCGCUUUCGCCUGUGACGAAGCGUGAGUGACGGUAAUGGGUAAAGAAGCACCGGCUAACUACGUG
rnacentral:rRNA from 1 species